rnacentral:misc_RNA from 1 species
GUGAGGAUCGUCUGGGUGGAGAG